rnacentral:rRNA from 1 species
AGUGAACGCUGGCGGUAGGCCUAACACAUGCAAGUCGAACGGCAGCACAGGAGAGCUUGCUCUCUGGGUGGCGAGUGGCGGACGGGUGAGGAAUACAUCGGAAUCUACCUUUUCGUGGGGGAUAACGUAGGGAAACUUACGCUAAUACCGCAUACGACCUACGGGUGAAAGUGGGGGACCGCAAGGCCUCACGCGAUUAGAUGAGCCGAUGUCCGAUUAGCUAGUUGGCGGGGUAAUGGCCCACCAAGGCGACGAUCGGUAGCUGGUCUGAGAGGAUGAUCAGCCACACUGUAACUGAGACACGGUCCAGACUCCUACGGGGGGCAGCGGUGGGGAAUAGUGGACAAUGGGCGCAAGCCUGAUCCAGCCAUACCGCGUGGGUGAAGAAGGCCUUCGGGUUGUAAAGCCCUUUUGUUGGGAAAGAAAUCCUGUCGAUUAAUACCCGGUGGGGAUGACGGUACCCAAAGAAUAAGCACCGGCUAACUUCGUGCCAGCCGCCGCGGUAAUAC